UUUAAGGGGAGCAAAUUCCUUGUUAUGUUAUCCUCUAUUGCUGCUCCAGGAGACAAAGUUUAGCUUCUGUACAGCAUCAGGUCAUCCUUGUUGACCAGCAGUGUUGAAGAUCAAACCUCUCUCUUUCCUGCUGAAUUGCUGGAUUUGGUCACAUUUAGGCUGAGAAUGUUCUGUUUCCCAAACCAAAAGGGCAUAUGAUGGAAGGAGAACUGGGUAUCACCUGUGUUAAUGCUGAAGCUCUUCAGGAUGAGAGGGGGCCUUACUUACCAUUCAAUACCCUCCCCAGGUUCUCCAGGCUCAGCUUCCUCUUUCAAGUGGAUACCAAUCUGCAAUGCCUGCAAUAGGAUAGGCUCCAGUUCCACCUCCCAGACAUGUCAUGGACACCACAGAGAACACAGCUGUGCAAGGGGAGUCCUGCUCAGUGUAUGAAAUUCAGGACCAAAAAAAAAACCAAAAAACAACUGUAUGUGCAACAAGGUGGACCAUAAACACAUGAUAAAUAAUAAAGUAAUCAUCACUUCUGAUGCAAACAAAAGCUGCAGGUUUUACAAACUACAACCACCAAGUACACUGUUAUUUUCCACAGCAAGUGGAAACCCACAUCUGUGUGUUUUAUUCACUGUCAGGGUGUGCUUUUUCUUCCUUAAAGCCAGACUGAGGUCUCUCUUAUCUGUUUUCAUGGAUUUUGACUACCUUAUCUCAGUCCCCUGUAAAAUGAAAUGAGCUCAAUAUCUUGCUUCGUUCCUUAUCCUUUGGAGUUGUGCCUUUUUCAAUCAUUGUAAGUUUGCAAGACUUUGGGUAAGUAGGUCCUAUGGGUAAGAAAGAGGCUGAGGAAUCAUUAAGCAAGAUACUCAGUAGCACACCUUUAUUGGGCUUUACAAAUCACCAGUAACUGAGACAGUCAUGGCUUGAGUUCACAAAGCAAUACCUUUAAAAAGGCAAAAGGGACCUGCUGCAGCUCUGUGUGCUGCAAACCUAGGUAGAAAGCACAUUAGAGAGAAGGAAUGAAAAAGGAAAAUAAAAAUAAAAAUAAAAAUAAAAAG